GACGAACGCUGGCGGCGUGCUUAACACAUGCAAGUCGAACGGAAAGGCCCUGCUUUUGUGGGGUGCUCGAGUGGCGAACGGGUAAGUAACACGUGAGUAACCUGCCCCUGACUUUGGGAUAACUUCAGGAAACUGGGGCUAAUACCGGAUAGGAGCUCCGGCUGCAUGGUGGGGGUUGGAAAGUUGCGGGGGUGGGGGAUGGACGCGCGGCUUAUAAGGUUGUUGGUGGGGUAGUGGCUUACCAAGGCUUUGACGGGUAGCCGGCCGGAGAGGGUGACCGGCAAAAUUGGGACUGAGAAAGGGCCAGGAUCCCUAGGGGGGGAGGAGGUGGGGAAAUUGGAAAAAGGGGGGGAGGCCGAUGGAAGCAACGCGGCGGGGGGAAGGAGGGCUUUGGGGUGGAAACCGGUUUUCGCAUGUAAGGAGGCGUGUGUGACGGUAAAGGGUAAAGAAGCACCGGCUAACUACGUG
rnacentral:rRNA from 1 species